rnacentral:rRNA from 1 species
CCUACGGGAGGCAGCAGUGGGGAAUUUUGGACAAUGGGCGAAAGCCUGAUCCAGCCAUGCCGCGUGAGUGAAGAAGGCCUUCGGGUUGUAAAGCUCUUUCAGCUGGAAAGAAAACGCUUGGGAUAAUACCCCAGGCGGAUGACGGUACCAGCAGAAGAAGCACCGGCUAACUACGUGCCAGCAGCCGCGGUAAUACGUAGGGUGCGAGCGUUAAUCGGAAUUACUGGGCGUAAAGCGUGCGCAGGCGGUUAUGUAAGACAGAUGUGAAAUCCCCGGGCUCAACCUGGGAACUGCGUUUGUGACUGCAUAACUAGAGUACGGCAGAGGGAGGUGGAAUUCCACGUGUAGCAGUGAAAUGCGUAGAGAUGUGGAGGAACACCGAUGGCGAAGGCAGCCUCCUGGGCCAGUACUGACGCUCAUGCACGAAAGCGUGGGGAGCAAACAGGAUUAGAUACCCGAGUAGUCC